GGGCAGUUAGCUCAGUCAGGUAGAGCAUCUGGCUUUUAACCAGAUGGCCAGGGGUUCAAAUCCCUUACUGCCCG
rnacentral:tRNA from 1 species